AUUGAACGCUGGCGGCAGGCCUAACACAUGCAAGUCGAACGGUAACAGAAAGCAGCUUGCUGCUUUGCUGACGAGUGGCGGACGGGUGAGUAAUGUCUGGGAAACUGCCUGAUGGAGGGGGAUAACUACUGGAAACGGUAGCUAAUACCGCAUAACGUCGCAAGACCAAAGAGGGGGACCUUCGGGCCUCUUGCCAUCGGAUGUGCCCAGAUGGGAUUAGCUUGUUGGUGGGGUAACGGCUCACCAAGGCGACGAUCCCUAGCUGGUCUGAGAGGAUGACCAGCCACACUGGAACUGAGACACGGUCCAGACUCCUACGGGAGGCAGCAGUGGGGAAUAUUGCACAAUGGGCGCAAGCCUGAUGCAGCCAUACCGCGUGUAUGAAGAAGGCCUUCGGGUUGUAAAGUACUUUCAGCGGGGAGGAAGGGAGUAAAGUUAAUACCUUUGCUCAUUGACGUUACCCGCAGAAGAAGCACCGGCUAACUCCGUG
rnacentral:rRNA from 1 species